rnacentral:rRNA from 1 species
UCAACCUGAGAGUUUGAUCCUGGCUCAGAGCGAACGCUGGCGGCAGGCCUAAUACAUGCAAGUCGAGCGCCCUUUCGGGGGAGCGGCGGACGGGUGAGUAACGCGUGGGAACGUGCCCUAUGGUGCGGAACAACUGAGGGAAACUUCAGCUAAUACCGCAUGAGCGCUACGGCGGAAAGAUUUAUCGCCAUAGGAGCGGCCCGCGUUGGAUUAGCUAGUUGGUGGGGUAAUGGCUCACCAAGGCUACGAUCCAUAGCUGGUCUGAGAGGAUGAUCAGCCACACUGGGACUGAGACACGGCCCAGACUCCUACGGGA